AUUGAACGCUGGCGGCAUGCCUUACACAUGCAAAUCGAACGGUAACAGGUCUUCGGAUGCUGACGAGUGGCGAACGGGUGAGUAAUACAUCGGAACGUGCCUAGUAGUGGGGGAUAACUACUCGAAAGAGUGGCUAAUACCGCAUGAGAUCUACGGAUGAAAGCAGGGGAUCGCAAGACCUUGUGCUACUAGAGCGGCCGAUGGCAGAUUAGGUAGUUGGUGGGAUAAAAGCUUACCAAGCCGACGAUCUGUAGCUGGUCUGAGAGGACGAUCAGCCACACUGGGACUGAGACACGGGCCAGACUCCUACGGGAGGCAGCAGUGGGGAAUUUUGGACAAUGGGCGAAAGCCUGAUCCAGCAAUGCCGCGUGCAGGAUGAAGGCCUUCGGGUUGUAAACUGCUUUUGUACGGAACGAAAAGCCCCGGGUUAAUACCCUGGGGUCAUGACGGUACCGUAAGAAUAAGCACCGGCUAACUACGUGCCAGCAGCCGCGGUAA
rnacentral:rRNA from 1 species